AACCAUUCUUCCUUUACUCGGAUCGUCCGGCACGUUCCUGCCGGUGAAGGGGGCCUCAC
rfam:Streptomyces tsukubensis strain F601 Scaffold11_1, whole genome shotgun sequence.